CCUACGGGGUGCUGCAGUGAGGAAUAUUGGUCAAUGGACGGAAGUCUGAACCAGCCAUGCCGCGUGCAGGAAGACGGCUCUAUGAGUUGUCAACUGCUUUUGUACAAGGGUAAACCUGAAUACGUGUAUUCCGCUGAAAGUAAUUUACGAAUAAGGAUCGGCUAACUCCGUGCCAGCAGCCGCGGUAAUACGGAGGGUCCAAGAGUUAUCCGGAUUUAUUGGGGUUAAAGGUUGCGUAGGCGGAUUGAUAAGUUAGAGGUGAAAUGUCCGAGCUUAACUCGGGAACUGCCUCUAAUACUGUUGAUCUAGAGAGUAGAUGCGGUAGGCGGAAUGUAUGGUGUAGCGGUGAAAUGCUUAGAGAUCAUACAGAACACCGAUUGCGAAGGCAGCUUACCAAGCUAGAUCUGACGUUGAGGCACGAAAGCGUGGGGAGCAAACAGGAUUAGAUACCCCAGUAGUC
rnacentral:rRNA from 1 species